UACGUAGGGUGCGAGCGUUAAUCGGAAUUACUGGGCGUAAAGCGUGCGCAGGCGGUUAGUUAAGUCUGAUGUGAAAGCCCCGGGCUCAACCUGGGAAUGGCAUUGGAAACUGGCUUGCUAGAGUGUGGCAGAGGGGGGUGGGAUUCCGCGUGUAGCAGUGAAAUGCGUAGAUAUGCGGAGGAACACCGAUGGCGAAGGCAAUCCCCUGGGCCUGCACUGACGCUCAUGCACGAAAGCGUGGGGAGCAAACAGG
rnacentral:rRNA from 1 species